AACAAACGCUGGCGGCGUGCCUAAUACAUGCAAGUCAAACGGGUAGCAAUACUAGUGGCGCACGGGUGAGGAAUACAUGGGUAAUCUGCCCUCGAGUUGGGGAUAACCAGUCGAAAGAUUGGCUAAUACCGGAUAAGACCACAAGAUCUGCGGAUCAAGGGUUAAAGGUUUUUCGCUUGAGGAUGAGCCCAUGUGGGAUUAGCUAGUUGGUGAGGUAAUGGCUCACCAAGGCGACGAUCCCUAACUGGUCUUAGAGGAUGAUCAGUCACACUGGAACUGAGACACGGUCCAGACUCCUACGGGAGGCAGCAGUAGGGAAUAUUGCACAAUGGGGAAACCCUGAUGCAGCGACGCCGCGUGAGUGAUGAAGGCCUUCGGGUCGUAAAGGCUCUGUCGUAUGGGAAUAACACAAUGAAUGUACCAUGCAAGAAAGGAUCGGCUAACUUCGUGCCAGCAG
rnacentral:rRNA from 1 species